UACGUAGGGUCCGAGCGUUGUCCGGAAUUAUUGGGCGUAAAGGGCUCGUAGGCGGUCUGUUGCGUCGGGAGUGAAAACUUACAGCUUAACUGUGAGCGUGCUUUCGAUACGGGCAGACUUGAGGCAUUCAGGGGAGAACGGAAUUCCUGGUGUAGCGGUGAAAUGCGCAGAUAUCAGGAGGAACACCGGUGGCGAAGGCGGUUCUCUGGGAC
rnacentral:rRNA from 1 species